rnacentral:lncRNA from 1 species
GACUGAAGGCCCACACCAAGACCUUAAACCAUCUUGUCCGGGAGCUGCUUUAUGCUGAUGACGCCGCCCUUGUUGCCCACACAGAAGCAGCUCUGCAGCGUUUAACAUCCUGCUUUGCAGACGCUGCUGAGCUCUUUGGGCUGGAAGUCAGCUUAAAGAAGACAGAGGUCCUCCAUCAACCUGCACCUCAGGAAGUCCCCCAUCAUCCCCACAUCACCAUUGGCCAAUCAGAGCUCAAAUCAGUCCAGCAGUUUAAUUACCUUGGUAGCCUCAUCUCCUCGGAUGGUAAGAUUGACGGAGAGAUAGACAACAGGUUAGCAAAGGCAUAUAGUGCUUUUGGAAAACUCCACAAAAGAGUAUGGCGUAAUAAACACUUGAAGAAAAGCACCAAGAUCAGUGUUUACAGAGCCAUAGUGCUGUCUACUCUCUUAUAUGGUUCCGAAUCAUGGGUCAUCUACCGCCACCACCUGCGUCUCCUAGAACGCUUCCAUCAACGCUGCCUCCGAACAAUCUUAAACAUCCACUGGUCAGAUUAUGUGACCAAUACAUCUGUUCUAGAACAAGCAGCUGUCACAAGUAUUGAGGCCAUGUUGCUGAGAACACAGCUGCGCUGGGCAGGGCACGUCUCCAGGAUGAAGGACCACCGCCUCCCUAAGAUCCUGCUUUAUGGUGAACUUGCCACUGGCUGCCGCAAGAGAGGAGCCCCGAAGAAAAGAUACAAGGACUCCCUGAAACAACAUCUCAGCCUUGGCCAUAUUGAUCAACAUAACUGGUCUACUCUGGCCUCCAAUCGGGAGGUCUGGAGACACACCAUCUAUAACGCUGCUGUCUCCUUCGAGAACACACGCAGGAUCACUCUUGAGGAAAAAAGGCAACGCAGAAAGAAUCGUGUCUUGCAGAAUACACCAUCUAAGGAGUCUUUCUGCUGUGCCUUAUGUAAUCGGAUAUGUCUGUCUCGUGUUGGCCUCAUUAGCCACCAGCGUGCCUGUAGCAAAUGUGGAUAGAGCCUUCCCAAAUCUUUGUUCGCGAAGCCCAGCCAUGAGAAGCUGGAUGUAUUGUACCAGUCUGCCCAUCUCUUGCUGCAUUGAAAGUCAACAGUUGAAUAAAAUCUGCUAUU